GAUGAACGCUGGCGGCGUGCCUAAUACAUGCAAGUCGAGCGAACAGACGAGGAGCUUGCUCCUUUGACGUUAGCGGCGGACGGGUGAGUAACACGUAGGUAACCUACCUAUAAGACUGGGAUAACUUCGGGAAUCCGGAGCUAAUACCGGAUAAUAUUUCGAACCGCAUGGUUCGAUAGUGAAAGAUGGCUUUGCUAUCACUUAUAGAUGGACCUGCGCCGUAUUAGCUAGUUGGUAAGGUAACGGCUUACCAAGGCAACGAUACGUAGCCGACCUGAGAGGGUGAUCGGCCACACUGGAACUGAGACACGGUCCAGACUCCUACGGGAGGCAGCAGUAGGGAAUCUUCCGCAAUGGGCGAAAGCCUGACGGAGCAACGCCGCGUGAGUGAUGAAGGUCUUCGGAUCGUAAAACUCUGUUAUUAGGGAAGAACAAACGUGUAAGUAACUGUGCACGUCUUGACGGUACCUAAUCAGAAAGCCACGGCUAACUACGUG
rnacentral:rRNA from 1 species